rnacentral:tRNA from 1 species
ACUGAUUUGGCAGAAUUUAGUGCAUUAAAUUUAGAAUUUAUUUAUAUAAUUAAUUUUAUAUUCAGUAA